CAAGCGCUUGGCGGCAUAAACAGGUUCCAAGCACCAAACAACCAAGCCUCCUCUGCCUGCCCCUGAAGCCGGAGUCCAUGUGAACAGUGUGCGCUCCUAGAGUGGCCGCUUAGCGCCAAGGCUGGGGUCCGCGCGGGAGGGAGACUGGGUCCACGGGACGUGGUCCAGCAUCGCUAGUGGGUUCUGCCGGGCGUUCAGGUCUCAAGGGGCUGCUGGCCCCUCGAGAGUCAGCCGAACUAGGGACGCGUCCUAGCCCCCGGGCCAAGCGCCAGACGGAAAGGGAAGAGGUGAACCGAGAGAGGCCUAGUAAAGAAGACUGAACUAUCCUGCUGGAAGGUGACCAUUAAAGAGAAUCAUUCGUCCUCACUAUAUAGCCAAACUCCAAACUUGUGAGUCACCUAAGCCAAACUAGGCAACAGGCCUUCAUACUGGCUAUCACAGAAGAUAUGUAAGUCCAUAAGACGUGAUGGAAGCAGGAGCUAUCCAAGAGGAAAACAAGCAAACAAGCAAACACCCCACAAAAUCUGGGCACACACAGCCCGAGCGGCCACAAUGAAGUGAGCACCUUAUUCCACCAUGUCCUUCUACCAUAAUGUUUCUGCCUUGGAGCUAGCCAGCCACAGACUGAGAUCUCUGAAACCAUGACCCAAAUUAAACCUUCUUCCUUUAAACUGUGGGUGUCAGGUAUUUUGUCCCUCAACAGGAAACCUUACCAAAACAGCAGUGUAUCAUAUUUAUUUUUUUGAGUAAAUAAAUACCUAUUGUUUUACAUUGAAGAAAAAAGUUGCCUCAAAGUCAUGAAUCCAAUCUCAUAAUUUCCUUCUAAAACCAUUAUUAUUUUGUCUUUCACAUGUAGAUAAAGGAUCUUCUGUUAUUAUCAUUUGGUGUGGACUGAGAGAUUCAAAAAUUCAUUUUUCAUAUAGAUAUGUAAUUGACAGCAUAGUUUUUUUUUGUUUUGUUUUUUUGUUGGUUUUCCAAAGAUCAUCUUUUACUCAUUGCUUUACAAUACAUCAUUUGUCUUAAAUCAAACAUUGAUCUAUUUACCUACUUCUAGAAUAUUCUGUUCCACCAGUCUUUUCUGUAUCUUUGUAAGA